rnacentral:rRNA from 1 species
GACGAACGCUGGCGGCGUGCUUAACACAUGCAAGUCGAACGAAGUGGCGAACGGGUGAGUAACGCGUAAUCAACCUGCCCUUCAGAGGGGGACAACAGUUGGAAACGACUGCUAAUACCGCAUACUGAAGGAGGGGAUUGCGUCUGCUUAGCUAGUUGGAGGGGUAACGGGCCACCAAGGCGAAGAUCAGUAGCCCGGCCUGGAUGAGGAAUCGCCAAAUUGGGAAUGGGACACGGCCCAGACUCCUACGGGAGGCCGCAGUGGGGAAUCUUCCGCCAUGGACGGAAGUCUGACGGAGCAACGCCGCGUGAGUGAUGAAGGCCUUCGGGUUGUAAAGCUCUGUUAAUCGGGACGCGGUACCGGAAUAGAAAGCCACGGCUAACUACGUGCCAGCAGCCGCGGUAAUAC